rnacentral:rRNA from 1 species
UACGUAGGGUGCGAGCGUUGUCCGGAAUUACUGGGCGUAAAGAGCUCGUAGGUGGUUUGUCGCGUUGUCCGUGAAAACUCACAACUCAAUUGUGGGCGUGCGGGCGAUACGGGCAGACUGGAGUACUGCGGGGGAGACUGGAAUUCCUGGUGUAGCGGUGGAAUGCGCAGAUAUCAGGAGGAACACCGGUGGCGAAGGCGGGUCUCUGGGCAGUAACUGACGCUGAGGCACGAAGGUCAGGGGAGCAAACGGG